UCAUCCAGUGAUUUUUUUGUGGCUGUUGUUGUUUGUAUGUGCCAUAUUUGAAUUUUUGUAAAUGCUCAUUACUGUUUUAUCUAAAUCAUCAACUGCUUCUUUAGCAAUUCUUUUUCCAUAGUUGCAGCUUGACCUGGGGUUCAGCAUCUUUCUCUUCUCUCACUUGAUGGGUUUUCUGACAUGUUAUUUUUCUUUACCCAUUCGUGACUGACUUGUCUUAAGAUCAUUCUGGUUCCCUUAAGCACUGACAGUCUUGAGAGUGGACAGCAGUCUCCCCUUCUGGGGGCUGACUGUAUAUAAGCCGCAAAGGAAGGUGCUUUGCACCUGGGCUUCUUAGCUGCAUUGAUCAGCAGGCUCCCAGUUAAGCAGUAGAAAAUACUUAGCCCACAGUUGCCACCUAAGAGACCCUGGAUCUCUGUGGGAACAAAGAGAUACAUAGGUGCUUCCAGGUGGAUCUGCAAAGCCUGUAUGGUUUUUCCUCUUGAGGGUCUCUAGGGACUUAUUUUUUUCCAGUAUCUUUAUCUUUCUGGAUUUUUGUCCAUGGACUCUUGGCUGCCAGUUUCCAGGUUCUUCUCAGGACCAGAGUAAGAAAGUAUUGAUUAACCUUGGUUUUACUCUUCACCCAGAUUCCAAUAGACUCCAUUUCCUUGAUUCAUAAUAUGGGUCCCCUUUUCUGGCUCCAGCAGCUCCUCCGGCAGGGAAGGAUGGCUGGUGAUCACAUCGUAUUGGAGCUGGGAGUAGAGAGACACACAGAAUUCCAGAUUCCUGCUAUUCCUUCAGUUAUGGAAAACAACAAUCAAUGCGGAAUAUCAGAAUGAUCUGACAGUCAUUGUACCACAAAGAGAGAAGAUGCUGGCUAAUCAAAGUUUAGUUCAUCGUUUUCUCUGGGACUUUGGUACGCAACUCAGUUAAACAUCCAGCCACAGGCAGAGAAGGUAAGAAUAUAUCCUCACCAUAAAUAUGUUUUAUUAUCCUUUUUGUUAUAGCCCUUCUAGCUUUUCAAUUCUAUUUUCUCCCCUCAUCUGCCACUUUCCCAAAUUGACAUUCAGUUUGUAAAUCCUUCAGUAGACUCCUAUCUUUCUUUAGAUAAAAUCCAAAUGCCUAUCCUUUCCGCCACAUGGCCCUUAGUGUCUCAUGGCCCUUUAUGUUUGGUCUCUGUCCUCUCUCUUCCUCUCUCUCUCUCUCUCUCUUUUUUUUUAACCUCCCCUUUUAUCCUAGGAUACCUAAAGUCAAGCCAUAGCAAGUGUUCAGAAUAGCCUGAACAGACCCUAUUUUCUGAUACCUCUAACACUUUUCUACAUGGCCUCUCUCCCUAAAUUGUAAAUCUUUAGCUUUAUAAACUUGGAGAACUCCUGUUAAUCCUUGAACACACAGUUCUGAUGUCAUCCUCAAUGUCACCUUCCUUUCUCUGUCCAGAACUGAUUUCCUAUGCCUCUAUUUGUUGUAAUUAAUGAAUUAUUAUUUGUUCUAUCCAUCUCUCUCCUCUGUAAUCCCUAAGAACAGGAAUUAUGUUUUACCCAUUUUUGUAUCUUAUGUAUUAUACCUAAGUGUAGUUCCUGGCACAUAUUAGAUGCUCAAUAAAUAUGACUGAAUUGAAAACUGCCA
ensembl:lncRNA